rnacentral:rRNA from 1 species
CAGUCGAACGCGUCUCCGUUGAUGAUUUUAGGUGCUUGCACUUGAAACCCUUAACAUUGAGACGAGUGGCGAACUGGUGAGUAACACGUGCGUAACCUGCCCUUGAAGUAGGGGAUAACACUUGGAAACAGGUGCUAAUACCGUAUAACAACCAAAACCACCUGGUUUUGGUUUAAAAGACGGCUUCGGCUGUCACUUUAGGAUGGACCCGCGGCGCAUUAGCUUGUUGGUAAGGUAACGGCUUACCAAGGCGAUGAUACGUAGCCGACCUGAGAGGGUAAUCGGCCACAUUGGGACUGAGACACGGCCCAAACUCCUACGGGAGGCAGCAGUAGGGAAUCUUCCACAAUGGACGAAAGUCUGAUGGAGCAACGCCGCGUGAGUGAUGAAGGGUUUCGGCUCGUAAAACUCUGUUGUUGGAGAAGAACAGGUGUCAGAGUAACUGUUGACAUCUUGACGGUAUCCAACCAGAAAGCCACGGCUAACUACGUGCCAGCAGCCGCGGUAAUACGUAGGUGGCAAGCGUUGUCCGGAUUUAUUGGGCGUAAAGCGAGCGCAGGCGGUUUUUUAGGUCUGAUGUGAAAGCCUUCGGCUUAACCGGAGAAGUGCAUCGGAAACCGGGAGACUUGAGUGCAGAAGAGGACAGUGGAACUCCAUGUGUAGCGGUGAAAUGCGUAGAUAUAUGGAAGAACACCAGUGGCGAAGGCGGCUGUCUGGUCUGUAACUGACGCUGAGGCUCGAAAGCAUGGGUAGCGAACAGGAUUAGAUACCCUGGUAGUCCAUGCCGUANACGAUGAGUGCUAAGUGUUGGAGGGUUUCCGCCCUUCAGUGCUGCAGCUAACG